GAAUGUGAGGGAGAUUUGGCUGUGAUACUUGUCACCCCAUUGAUCACCAGUGUUGAUUCAGCUGAAAGGGUUGGGUAGGCAGAUGUCUGCUUCCCCCUUCACUGCGCCAUGUUCAUCUAUCCAGAAGCUACAUGCUAUGUGGAAGAUAAUCCCUCCUCUGAAUAGAGAUGGACCAUUCUUCUUUCAAGGGUAUAUACCUAUUGCAUCCCCUGAGAAGAACCUCCAAACAAGUUCUCAUAAUAGGCUAAGUAGAUGCUGCCCCCUACACCCCUACUCCUUGCUCAUAUGGGUUUAUGGCUCAUAUUAUUAACCCUC
rnacentral:snRNA from 1 species